rnacentral:rRNA from 1 species
AUGUCUUCUUCUAGCUCCCGCUCCACCUUGCGGAUCCAGAUUCCGGCGCAUGUGGAGAUGUCGAUCUUCCUCUGUCCACAGUGCCGAGCGGACGUUGAUUGGAGGGUUUCACGCACACCGAAGAACUAUAAUCGUCUGUUUUACGUGUGCAAUUAAAAGGGGGUGAAAUGUUUCUUCCUUUGGGUCGAUGUUCUGGUCAAGAUGCUGAUGAAUGAACUGCUAGAAGAGCAUGAAGAAUGGAUGCCCAUCCUGCCACGAACGACAGCGGCCGCAACGCAAGCUCCGGAAGAAGAGACAGAGGGUGGAGCACACAAUGAUAGAGAGGUACCUGUUGAGCUUAGGAGGUUGAACUAGAAGAUUAGGAAGCUUGAAGAUCAAGCACAAAUACCCAUUUGCAAUUACAUUUGGGUAUUUGUAGGUAUGGUAAUCGCGCUGGGUGUAAUCUUGAUAUUGUGUGGAAAAGCAUGA